rnacentral:rRNA from 1 species
GACGAACGCUGGCGGCGUGCUUAACACAUGCAAGUCGAACGAUGAAGAAGAGAAACUCGAUCUUCGGUUCAAAUUUCUCUUCGGAUUAGUGGCAGACGGGUGAGUAACGCGUGAGCAACCUACCUCUUACAAAUGGAUAGCCUCGGCAAGCCGUGAUUAAUACCAUUUUACUCAUUCAUAAUGCAUCAUAAGACUGAUAAAGCUACGGCGGUAAGAGAUGGGCUCGCGUCCCGUUAGCUAGUUGGUGAGGUAACGGCCCACCAAGGAGACGAUGGGUAACCGACCGGGGAGGGGGAACGGUAACUUUGGAACUGAGCACCGGUCCAAACUCCAAGGGGAGGAAGAGGUGGGGAAUAUUGAAAAAUGGAGGGAACUCUAAGGAAGCGAGGCGGGGUGAGAGAUGCAGGAAUUGGUUUCGUAAAGCCCUGUUUUAUGGGAAGAAAAUGACUGUACCAAAGGAGAAAGCCCCGGCUAAAUACGUG